AAACUGUUGUUGGGCUCAGUGUACCUGGAUUAGUCACCUACAGCCUAGCUGACUGGAUAGUACAUGUGUCAAAUAGUAAUUUAGAUAUCCCAUGCUAAGUUCAGGGAGGACAGACACGUUCUGUGAGCAGAAAGACAAAAGUGGGUUUGAUCACAAUUUUCCAUACAGUUACAGACUGUGAAAGCAGGGCCUCGCCAUCCUUCUGAUCUUUGACAUCUUAAGCAAGAGGUGUCAGAAAAGUUAUCACAGGGAUAACUGGAAUGGGAUGGCCAAGUGUUCAUAGCAACUCUUCUUUUUAGUCCUUAGCUAUUGGCUCUUCAUUGUGAAGCAGACUUCAUCAAGUGUCAGAUUGACCACCCACUAGUGAGAAUGUGAGCUGGGAUUAGGCCGUCAUGAGAUAGGGCAGUUUUAC
rnacentral:ncRNA from 1 species